AGUCCCGCCAGGCUGGGGACAAGGCACAGCAGCGUCCUCUCGGCCUCUCCCAGGCCCCAAUUCGACACAACCAUUCCCCGUCCCCAGCCCCCGGACGAGGAGGGGGUGCAGCCCCUCCACCCCGCCCCGUCGCCGCCCCUAGCCCGACCUUUUUGUCCCAGAUUUGCAGAGGCUUGCUGCCGAUGCUGUAGAGGAUGGAGAGGAAGCCGCUCUGGAACGUGUUUUUGAACAUCUCGCCGGCGGCCUUCUCCUAAGCCGCCCCCGGAGCCGACCUAGGCCCCGGAGUAGAUACAGGCACCGAGCGUCGAGGGCACAGCAGCAGGCCGGCCCUGUUCCGAAGAAGGGUGGUUGAGCUCCUGGCCUCCGGAUCUGCAGCCACUGAUGGCCGGACUCGGACGCGGCAACGCUAAGUCCGCGAUCUUCAGCUCCUAAGCUGCGAGCUCAGAACGGAAACCACAGCAACUACCGUCCGCGCCGCGGUAUUUCCCCGCCUUCAAUGGAGGCGGAGGGCCGCCCGUUGCUUAAAAUGAAUCCCUCCGCCCAUCUGAGCCCGCCCCCCGGGAGCGCGGGGCCCAAUCCCGUUACAAGGACCACGGACUUCCGUUUCGUUCCGCCUGUAAGUCCCGCCUGGUCCCGCCUCCUCCUGAAAAGAGCUCAGUUGUCAAGGAACUAUUUUUCUUGCCGUCGUCCCAGAGAUGCCUUUGGAAAAGCGGAAGGGCACGGAGGGUUCUGGAGUUCGUUGCUGGCACCUGCGUGGUGUCAUGAGAACGUGGCGGGGCGAUUCACACUACAAGGAAUACUAAAGGACGUUCUCCACAUUGAAGGAAAAUGAUCUAAAGAGAAACAGAUCUGUAAGAAGAAAUGAAGAGCACUGGUAAAGGUCCAGCAUAGCAAGUGGGUGGUGAGAUGCCGGCAGUGGAAUUCUAGAAGCAGUGCCUCCCAGAACAGCACUACAGUACUGAGGAAGGACUAUGCACCUGGGAAGCUGUCACACACACAAAAUCAUUUCAUGAAAACUUUCUUUGGGUAAAGGAAGGGUUCCACUGCGUAGUAUUUGAUUUGAGAAGGGCUGCAUGGUGCAUGAGGUUAAGAAAGAAAUGACUAUAUUUGCCUUUAAACACUUCAGCUGAUUCCAAGCACCCAACUUCAGAGGCUCAGUGAGAAGAAAGCACACUAAUUAAAGAAAGCACAUUAAUUAAAGAUACCACCACCUGCCAAAUAAUAGCAUGUGCUGCAAGGAAUGGGGCUAGGGAGAGUGUUUCACAAAUGCAGAGCACCAGGCCACAAGGUUAAAGUCAUGCACUAAAACAGUCAAUCCCAAGAGGCAGGUGUCUGAGUGGCGCGACUCAGAAGCAAGUACAUAAAAACGGAACACUCCCAACAGGACACCACUCUAGCCCCACUUCUGCCAAAGGAAAGUUUUCACAUCAAGGUGUAACACACAUCUUUGCAAUUCAAGGUUUAUCCCUCCCCUCUCCCCCAAAGAGACAGGAAAUACAAGUUAAGGUCCUCAUAGCAAUGGUUUGUCUCCCACUUGGGAAGGCUGGUUAUUGUCAACAUUUUUAUUUAAGAAAACAGGAUUUAACAUGGCAUUUUUCUUCCCUCUAAGGGCAGCAGCACAUAAAUCAUACAUCAGUCAUCCAGUGAUACAAAGAGGUGGCCAAUUGUGUCUGAAGUAGUCACUUGUAAAGGAUCACAACCCAGGCAGUGUUGCUUUUCUGCAAACAGAAGGAAACAGAAGGCUCCAUGGUCCUUGAAGAUUAUCCAAGUUUUCCACUAGUUGUCAAGAUUUCUGUCCCAACCUCUUAGUCACCAUUUACAGCAAGAAGAGCCAGCAAGUGAAAAACUGUUAAUUUAUUGAUUCAAAGUUGUUUUUUUUCUUUUUAAAAAACAAUCCCCAAUACAUGCAGUUCAGGGUUAAGUAUCACAUUUGUAGCACAUUGUUGAGUCUCAAAACAAAAAUAUGCAUCACCUGUAUAAUCCCAUCACAUCUUUUUCCAGCCUCUACAAUACCUAGUUGGGGGUGUUUUCAUUUAUACAUCCACAUAGCUCAGAAGCAUGUUAUUAACGGUUGAUCUGGCCCGAUGCUUCUCCGCCACCUCCCCUGCCCUGGUCUCCACCUCGGGGUUAUUUUUUUCUAAAGGCAGGAUGUUACUCAGUCUUAAUUUAUUAAGAUCACUGACAAACUUUGGCUUCUUGUGUGCUCAUGUGGUCCCUGCUUUUGCUUUCGGAAGGGUUUAUAUUGAAACGACUGUGACUCUGAUCGGUUAUUAUCCCCUCAUUUUUUGUAGGAAAUAAGUUUGCUUGUUUCUGUGGGUGCUCACACAGUAACACAGGUUCCUAAAGUAACCAUUUAAUCUGAACUGGUAUUAAAGGAAACUGUUAACCAGG
rnacentral:lncRNA from 1 species